GUAAGAGAAGAGGUGUGUGUGCUGAGAGCAAGGGCUGUACGGCUCAUCUCUGUGUUGUCACAGGAAAUGCCCGGCAGAGCUCCUUGCUCUCUGUUCUUUCUUGCAAGGCUGCGGCGCUUCAAAGUGCGCUGUGGGUGGGGAGUGCGAUGACAGCCCAAGGGUGGCACCAGGAGAUGCAGCACAGCCCUCUCCAGCAGCAGGGUGCAUUAAUUGGUCUUGCUAAUUCUUGAAGGAGAAGGCAGGAGCCGGGCAGCGGUACUGCAGCUCGUCUGGCAGCUUUGCAGCUCAGUUGGGAAGUAGAAGAUGUGGCUGUGAAAGAAGAAGUCAGUUGCUGGGACGUCCCCCUGUUCUUCCCCUAGCUGUCCCUAUGCCUCAGCCUGGAUUCUUCUUGCAUUCCUGUAGGAUUCCCUUCCAUCCUCCUGGUUGUCCCUUGCUUUCCCCAAGGUUGCUCUUUCCUUUCCCAUGACAGCCCACCCAUCAUUCCCUCAAAGCCCCAAUAUCCACCCCAGUGUUUCCCCAGUAAGACUCCUAGAGACGCCCUGUAGCACCCCACAGAGCCCCAUACACC
rnacentral:lncRNA from 1 species